rnacentral:rRNA from 1 species
AUGUCGUGGCAGACGUACGUCGACGACCACCUGUGCUGCGAGAUCGACGGCCAGCACCUCACCUCCGCCGCCAUCCUCGGCCACGACGGCAGCGUCUGGGCGCAGUCCCCCAACUUCCCCCAGCUCUAUCUGAACUUUCCUUGUUCUCUGCUUCUGCUGCAGUUCAAGCCCGAGGAGAUUGCUGGCAUCAUUAAAGACUUUGAGGAACCUGGACAUCUUGCACCAACUGGUCUUUUCCUUGGAGGCACAAAGUACAUGGUCAUCCAAGGUGAACCUGGGGUUGUCAUCCGAGGAAAGAAGGGCACCGGUGGCAUCACUAUCAAGAAGACCGGCAUGGCCCUGAUUCUUGGUAUCUACGAUGAGCCCAUGACUCCUGGCCAGUGCAAUUUGGUCGUGGAGAGGCUCGGCGACUACCUGGUCGAGCAGGGUUUCUAA